rnacentral:rRNA from 1 species
UAUUGGACAAUGGGCGAAAGCCUGAUCCAGCAAUGCCGCGUGUGUGAAGAAGGUCCUCGCCCCUGUAAAGCACUUUCGACGGGGACGAUGAUGACGGUACCCGUAGAAGAAGCCCCGGCUAACUUCGUGCCAGCAGCCGCGGUAAUACGAAGGGGGCUAGCGUUGCUCGGAAUGACUGGGCGUAAAGGGCGCGUAGGCGGCGGUGUAAGUCAGACGUGAAAUUCCUGGGCUCAACCUGGGGACUGCGUUUGAGACUGCAUUGCUAGAGGAUGGAAGAGGCUCGUGGAAUUCCCAGUGUAGAGGUGAAAUUCGUAGAUAUUGGGAAGAACACCGGUGGCGAAGGCGGCGAGCUCGUCCAUUACUGACGCUGAGGCGCGAUA